rnacentral:rRNA from 1 species
UACGUAGGGUGCAAGCGUUGUCCGGAAUUAUUGGGCGUAAAGAGCUCGUAGGCGGUCUGUUACGUCUGCUGUGAAAACCCAGGGCUUAACCCUGGGCUUGCAGUGGAUACGGGCAGACUAGAGGCAGGUAGGGGAGAAUGGAAUUCCCGGUGUAGCGGUGAAAUGCGCAGAUAUCGGGAGGAACACCGGUGGCGAAGGCGGUUCUCUGGGCCUGACCUGACGCUGAGGAGCGAAAGCGUGGGGAGCGAACGGG